CUUAAUUUGACUCAACACGGGGAAACUUACCAGGUCCAGACAUAGUAAGGAUUGACAGACUGAGAGCUCUUUCUUGAUUCUAUGGGUGGUGGAGAGAAUGAUUAGUAUCUUCUUCUCUAUUAAAUAAAAAAUUAAAUAUAUUUAACUG
rnacentral:ncRNA from 1 species